UACGGAGGGUGCAAGCGUUAUCCGGAUUCACUGGGUUUAAAGGGUGCGUAGGCGGAUAGGUAAGUCCGUGGUGAAAUCCUGCAGCUUAACUGCAGAACUGCCAUGGAUACUAUUUAUCUUGAAUACUGUGGAGGUAAGCGGAAUAUGUCAUGUAGCGGUGAAAUGCUUAGAUAUGACAUAGAACACCGAUAGCGAAGGCAGCUUGCUACACAGUCAUUGACACUGAGGCACGAAAGCGUGGGGAUCAAACAGG
rnacentral:rRNA from 1 species